GGUAAAAUGGCCGAGACUAAGCAAUAAAUUGUAAAUUUAUUCACGAAAUAUAUAUUUCUUUUACCA
rnacentral:tRNA from 1 species